rnacentral:rRNA from 1 species
AUGAACGCUGGCGGCGUGCCUAAUACAUGCAAGUCGAGCGAACAGACGAGGAGCUUGCUCCUCUGACGUUAGCGGCGGACGGGUGAGUAACACGUGGAUAACCUACCUAUAAGACUGGGAUAACUUCGGGAAACCGGAGCUAAUACCGGAUAAUAUAUUGAACCGCAUGGUUCAAUAGUGAAAGACGGUUUUGCUGUCCCUUAUAGAUGGAUCCGCGCCGCAUUAGCUAGUUGGUAAGGUAACGGCUUACCAAGGCAACGAUGCGUAGCCGACCUGAGAGGGUGAUCGGCCACACUGGAACUGAGACACGGUCCAGACUCCUACGGGAGGCAGCAGUAGGGAAUCUUCCGCAAUGGGCGAAAGCCUGACGGAGCAACGCCGCGUGAGUGAUGAAGGUCUUCGGAUCGUAAAACUCUGUUAUUAGGGAAGAACAAAUGUGUAAGUAACUAUGCACGUCUUGACGGUACCUAAUCAGAAAGCCACGGCUAACUACGUG